rnacentral:rRNA from 1 species
AUUGAACGCUGGCGGCAGGCCUAACACAUGCAAGUCGAGCGGUUGAAGGGAGCUUGCUCCUGGAUUCAGCGGCGGACGGGUGAGUAAUGCCUAGGAAUCUGCCUGGUAGUGGGGGAUAACGUCCGUAAACGGGCGCUAAUACCGCAUACGUCCUGAGUGAGUAAGUGGGGGAUCUUCGGACCUCACGCUAUCUGAUGAGCCUAGGUCGGAUUAGCUAGUUGGUGGGGUAAAGGCCUACCAAGGCGACGAUCCGUAACUGGUCUGAGAGGAUGAUCAGUAAAACUGGAACUGAGACACGGUCCAGACUCCUACGGGAGGCGCCAGUGGGGAAUAUUGGACAAUGGGCGAAAGCCUGAUCCAGACAUGCCGCGUGGGUGAAGAAGGUCUUCGGAUUGUAAAGCACUUUAAGUUGGGAGGAAGGGCAGUAAGUUAAUAACUUGCUGUUUUGACGUUACCAACAGAAUAAGCACCGGCUAACUUCGUG